rnacentral:lncRNA from 1 species
GAACAUUCCAGGCUCUGUGAACUAAGUGACUGAAGCUGAUUGACACAGGUCAAGGGGACUUCAAGGAAGAAAGCCAGCCUUAGACUGACAUCAGAGAACCAAACUCCGGUGUCUAAGCUCAAGAGGUUAGAAUCCUGAGAACUGUUUGGAAUAAGGAAUCCAAAUAUUGUCUUCCAGCUUCACCUUGUCACGACAGUCCUCGCCAGGGACAGCUGAGACCUCUUCUCUGCCUCCCAGCUCCCAUGGCGCCUCUCUCGAUACGUGGCCUCUUCUGAUACUUACCUCAGCUUGGACACAGCUCUCUGAAGAUCAUCUACAUCUCCAUUUAUGCCGUGUGCACGCAGUACCAACAGAGGUCAGAGGAGGGUGUCGGAUCCCCUGGAACUGGAGUCACAGAUUCUUCCUUGCGUGGAUGAAACAGUCCCAACGAACACUUUAAAAAGACAAAUGUUCCCGACAGCACUGGUUGAAUUCAAAACUCGGCAGAUCCAUGUUCUUAUCCUUAGACAAGAGAGGGGCCAUAACAAGAUGGAAUGACGGAACAGACGUGAGAGAUGAUGGUACAGUGACUCGGGUAACCCCAGAAAAGGGACAGCUCUUCUACAGCUCAGUGGGGACAGGGACAAAAAGAAACAAUUUCAUUUCAGUCCACCCAGAGGGUCUGCACUUCUCGGAGCCAGAAGGUGGAGAAGAGUAGGGAUGGAGGAAGUUCGAAGUUUUAGGAGUCUGCUCUUGGGUCCCUAGGCAUGAGGACAAGCUUUUCCUGUACUCAAUGCUCAUCUCUCAGUUGUGCCCACAUUGGUACACAUUACUUGCUUUCAACUGCUGCUGCUGCUGUUUCCUAAUUCAAUAAAGAUAUGGCUGGCUCAGCAGAGAGCUGUCAUCCA